UACGUAGGGACCAAGCGUUGUUCGGAUUUACUGGGCGUAAAGGGCGCGUAGGCGGCAAUUCAAGUCAUCUGUGAAAUCUCCGGGCUUAACUCGGAACGGUCAGAUGAUACUGCUUUGCUAGAGUGCAGAAGGGGCAAUCGGAAUUCUUGGUGUAGCGGUGAAAUGCUUAGAUAUGACAUAGAACACCUAUUGCGAAGGCAGCUUACUACGCAGAUAUUGACGCUCAUGCACGAAAGCGUGGGGAUCAAACAGG
rnacentral:rRNA from 1 species